rnacentral:lncRNA from 1 species
UAUUUUUUUUAAGAUAAAGGCUUAAAGAUUGUUUGGACUUGGUAGCAAGAUUAUUUGUACUCAAACAUUGUACAUUAAUUGAAGAUGUUUAUAAUCAUCAUAUUUUAGGACAUACACUUAUAAAAGUAUAUACUAUUGAUUUUGAAGAGCAAUAUUUUUUUUACAUGGACUUUUUACUCUUUUCAAUAUAAAAAAAAACAAAGUAAAAAAUUUGACCAAUAUUGAUU